CCUGUAUGGUAGCUCUUGGAUGGUCAUGUGGUCAGCUUGGCUGAACGGUUCCAAGUAAAAUACUUCCCCUCGAAACACGAUCAGCUGGGCAGAGCAUUUUAGUAGCUGUAUGUCUUUUCUUCAAUUACAACAUACCAGCCUUUCCUGUCCCUCCUCGGUUCAUUCAAGUUAGGAAUCUUCCUUUCUUUGUUGGGUGUAUCACUGUCACGAAAAUCUUUGUUUACAUCUUCCUGCC
rnacentral:misc_RNA from 1 species